rnacentral:rRNA from 1 species
UUUUGUAGUUCAAAAAGUUGUCUCAAAGAUUAAGCCAUGCAUGUCUAAGUAUAAGCAACUUGUACUGUGAAACUGCGAAUGGCUCAUUAAAUCAGUUAUCGUUUAUUUGAUAGUACCUUACUACAUGGAUACCUGUGGUAAUUCUAGAGCUAAUACAUGCUAAAAACCCCGACUUCAGGAAGGGGUGUAUUUAUUAGAUAAAAAACCAACGCCCUUCGGGGCUCCUUGGUGAAUCAUAAUAACUUAACGAAUCGCAUGGCCUUGCGCCGGCGAUGGUUCAUUCAAAUUUCUGCCCUAUCAACUUUCGAUGGUAGGAUAGUGGCCUACCAUGGUGGCAACGGGUAACGGGGAAUUAGGGUUCGAUUCCGGAGAGGGAGCCUGAGAAACGGCUACCACAUCCAAGGAAGGCAGCAGGCGCGCAAAUUACCCAAUCCCGAUACGGGGAGGUAGUGACAAUAAAUACUGAUACGGGGCUCUUUUGGGUCUCGUAAUUGGAAUGAGAACAAUUUAAAUCCCUUAACGAGGAACAAUUGGAGGGCAAGUCUGUGCCCCACCCAGCCAAA